AGGGAAUCUUCCACAAUGGACGCAAGUCUGAUGGAGCAACGCCGCGUGAGUGAAGAAGGUUUUCGGACCGUAAAGCUCUGUUGUUGGUGAAGAAGGAUAGAGGUAGUAACUGGCCUUUAUUUGACGGUAAUCAACCAGAAAGUCACGGCUAACUACGUGCCAGCAGCCGCGGUAAUACGUAGGUGGCAAGCGUUGUCCGGAUUUAUUGGGCGUAAAGCGAGCGCAGGCGGAAGAAUAAGUCUGAUGUGAAAGCCCUCGGCUUAACCGAGGAAUUGCAUCGGAAACUGUUU
rnacentral:rRNA from 1 species